GAUGAACGCUGGCGGCGUGCCUAAUACAUGCAAGUCGAGCGAACAGAUAAGGAGCUUGCUCCUUUGACGUUAGCGGCGGACGGGUGAGUAACACGUGGGUAACCUACCUAUAAGACUGGGAUAACUUCGGGGAACCGGAGCUAAUACCGGAUAACAUUUGGAACCGCAUGGUUCUAAAGUGAAAGAUGGUUUUGCUAUCACUUAUAGAUGGACCCGCGCCGUAUUAGCUAGUUGGUAAGGUAACGGCUUACCAAGGCGACGAUACGUAGCCGACCUGAGAGGGUGAUCGGCCACACUGGAACUGAGACACGGUCCAGACUCCUACGGGAGGCAGCAGUAGGGAAUCUUCCGCAAUGGGCGAAAGCCUGACGGAGCAACGCCGCGUGAGUGAUGAAGGGUUUCGGCUCGUAAAACUCUGUUAUUAGGGAAGAACAAACGUGUAAGUAACUGUGCACGUCUUGACGGUACCUAAUCAGAAAGCCACGGCUAACUACGUG
rnacentral:rRNA from 1 species